CCGUUCGAUUUCGAGUGAUUAUGUUAUUUGGUUUCAAAUUUGAUGAUGAGGAAUUGUGGGUUUUCUUUCAGUGUCGUCUAAAGAGGUCUCGAAACCAUAAUUCGAUAGUUCUUCCUUAAUUGUCAACUGUUGACUAACGAUUUGAUGCUACUUGUGAAAGAAAAUUGUGAGUGUAAGUUAAAUAUGAUAAUCGCUUUUUGGUGAUAUUGGGAUUAAUGAUUUCAUUCGUCGCAAUCGCUCUUCUACUUUUCCCUUUCGUAGUCCUAAUGAUUAUAGUAAUCUAUGAUAAUGAAGAAACGGUAUCAAUCGGUAAAUGAAUGAUGGUUUUCUUAUUUGUUGAUUGAUGUGCAUCUUUUCUAACUGUUCUCUUUGCUUUUGAAAGGGACUAUCUGCCUCAAGCUUAUCUCUUUAUCUUGGAAAAUCUGAGCUAUCGUUUCUCCCUUCAAAUAUCCAGGUAUUACAGAGAAUUGUCUUGCUAUUGCAAUUACUUUUUACAUACAUACCUUUUGUUUUAUUUCGGCGCAUUCCGGAAAAGUGGGAAGCGAAUGCUGGCGUUGAUGUGUAACUGAAGGUGCGUGUAAGGAAUCCAUCAGUGUUGAUAGCAUAAUGGUUGUUAGACGUGAGCCUUCAAGAAAUGACUAUAGGAUUCUCAUAGCAGCUGGCUUGGCCAAAGCUUCUUGAUCAUCCAUUUGUUGCAGGUUCUCUUGAUAUUUGAGGCUGGGAUACUUAUCUUCUCUUUAUGAGUUCUAAGCGGGGUACCAUUUGAUUCAACAACAAAUGGUGGAGAUUUUAAAGAGGAACUGUAUCAAAAGUUGUAAUGGCAUGAAUAUGAUGCAGAAUCUUCUUACACCCUUCAUGAUUUAAUUUCUUUCCUUUGAUUUAAAAUGGAGGAUGUUGUGAUAAAGCAAGAUGAGCUGAAGAAUGACGAUUACAUGAUGGAAAAUCAAUUUUGGUAUGGACCAGAAAACGUUAACAGUUGGUGAUUAGCUUGCAACAUUGCUGAUGAAAAAGAUAGUGAUAGACUGGUAGUGCUGAGAUUAUUUUCUACGUGUAUCAUUUCAGUCCUUACAAAUCCCAAUUUGAGUUAGAAA